rnacentral:sRNA from 1 species
AGCACUGCUCGGUUUUGUUAUACUCAAAAUGAGCAUCAAAUAGGUACUUUAGAUCCUCUAUUUAUCGAUAUCGAAAUUAUAGAAUACGGGUCGCAAACACAUAAUGCCUUCAAAAUUGAUUUCUGAAUCUUCUCAUCUCAAAUUGUUUGCACUAGUUUGAAAAUACUAACAAAUAAUAUUUGAAGCAGAUCAGUUUCUGUACAUACUCAUACAGACAUUAUAACGAAACGAAAACAAAACAUUCAUACAACAAUAAAUUCAACAUUACCUCAUUCGAUAGCCAUAAAACUCGUCGUAAAGAGCGAAACAUUCGGAAUCGAUGAGGAUCAUGAUGAAUUUAUGUUUAUCUUUACCAAUCCACCAGGCGAUAAUGAAACUAAAAGAGAUUACAUCCCUGUACGAACAUUUGAAUCGGGAUGAGCCGACCCUGUUCAUUUCGCGCGAGGACACGAUUGCUACGUAACAUCGUUUGCCCGCAAAUGGAAUACAUCGGAGCGUGUAAUUCACGUUAGAUUCACACGUGGCGAAUAUUAAUCGAAAUGAAAUUUGAUGAUUUGCUUCCGAUAGCAAUAAAGGAAAUUGAUGUCGCUCGGAUUCCAUUCCAAACAGGCAAUACGUACAAAAAUAACCAUAACAUUUUGAUAAGAGACAGUGUCAGCCCGUGUAUGUGUUUUAUCUAACAUAAUUAAACUGAGAAUUACGUUACUUGUAGAAUUUAUGAUCCGCAAGGUCGUAAAGCAUGUGAACAACGUUAGAAACAGUCAUUUUACCACCUAUUAUUGCUGUUACAUCUAGAAAUACUGCGAUAAUUACAUAAUCUAUGCUAUCGCUUUCUUUUCGCACAAACAAUAAUACGUACCAAGAUAACUUGAUCGAUGAAAGUUUCUCAUAUUAGAAACUAUGGCCCGAAAUUUUCCUAUCAGAAAUGACAUCGAUAAUUUUGCAAGCAAUAUGGACGAGUUGUUUUUUUUUUUUUUUGGCUUUUGGCUUCCGGUCUUUGAGACGUAAACACUAUAGUGUCGGUGCUCCGUAAAGUUUUCAAAAAAAAUAUGCAUUUUUGUGACAGUUAACACAAACGAAUCACAUUUAAAGAAGAAAUAAGUGAAGUGAGAAAGUUAACAAUAACAACUAUCACAUAUUGUUCGGUUUUUAUGAAGAAAAUUGAAGAAUAAAAUACAUAAAAAUUUCGAGGUUAGAAUUAUUAUCAAUAGACAAUAUAGACUACAUACAGCAGUAGUGCCAACACAUAAAACUGUCAGUCAGUGACAUUAGUCACCUCAGUGUUGCCAGCAAAAAAAAAAAAAAAAAAAAAUAUCCUUUAUACGCAAAAAUAAAAAUGGAAGGUCAAUUUCAAUUACUAUUCGAUAAACUGAAAAUUGAAAUGGAAAAACAAUCAGAGGAGUUGAGUAAUAAAAUAAUGGAAAAAAUGGAGGAGAAAUUAAAACCUGUCAUAGACGAAAAUAAAAAUUUAAAACUUAAAGUUGAAAACUUGGAGAAAAAAGUCGAAUAUCUGGAAAGAGAGAAGAAAAGCAACAAUAUAAUCAUUCAUGGACUAUUAGAAGAUGAAAAGUAUACAUCAGAGUUACUUGAAAAGAUAAAAAAACUGUUUUUAACCGAAUUAAAUAUCUCAAUAGAAGGAUUCGACGUAAAUAAAAUCUACCGCAUAGGAAAACCAAACAAGGGUGAGAAACCAAGACCUACGCUUCUAGGCUUGAAUAGUGGAUGGAAAAGAAGUGAGAUAAUGAAAAACAAGAAGAAACUUAAAGAAAUAUAUAUAACGGAAGAUUAUUCAAAGGAAACUAUAGAAAAAGGAAAGCACUACAACCUAAGCUCAUAGAAGAAAGGAAAAAAGGAAAAUUUGCAUAUAUAAAGUACGAUAAACUCGUCAUCAAAGAAAAGACUUCUGCAAAUGAUAAAAGAAAGCGAGGAACUUCUACUUCUCCCCAAGCUGAGACACAACCAAGAAAACAGCAGGCAAUAAACGGACCCAAAAAUAAUAGGAUAAACGCAUUUGACGUGAUGAGAGGGCGAUCUAACUCCCUCUCAAGUAUCAUAGCAGAGGUAAAACAAUAGCAAUUAAACAAACACGAUCGGAAACGGAACCCAAAUGCAAAUCAAAAUAUUAAAGUAAACAAAAACACAUACACACCCCCAAGCCGACUGGUCCUCGUGGGGGAUGAAGACCACGACCCUCUAAUGAUUAAUAAAUCCACGUCAGACAUAAACAUAGCCACUUUCAAUGUGAGAACACUAAGAACUCCAGAAAAGCUUCAUGAACUUGAACUAGCCAUAGCAAACAUAAAAUGGGAUAUAAUAGGAAUCAGUGAGAUGAGAAGAUAUGGGGAAGGAAUUGAAGAUCAUGGGAAUUACAUCCUACAUUACAAAGGCGAGACCCAAGGUCUAUAUGGUGUUGGUUUUCUCAUAAAAAAAAGGCUUGCUCACAGAAUCGAAGAAAUAAAAGGCAUAUCGCAGAGAAUAUCAGUUCUAAACAUUGCACUGCCAUUAAAUAAAAACGAAAAAUGGACGAUAAUACAAGCAUACUCCCCAAUAGAAUCAACCAGAAAAGAAGAUGAAAAAGAAAUCGAAAAAUUUUACGAAGACCUACAAACAACGAUUCAAAACGCUCAUAAAAAUAUUAUUGUAAUGGGUGACUUUAAUGGGCAGAUCGGAUCGUGUAAGAGCAUUGAUGAAAAACAUACGGUAGGAAAAUACGGAUCUGGUAAAAGAAGCAAAAACGGAGAUAGACUGAUCACUUUCGUUUUAGAAAAUAAAUUACGUGUUCUCAAUAAAUUCUAUAAGAAAAAAGAAACAAAAAGAUGGACAUGGCAUUCGCCAGGUGGACUAUACAAAAACGAAAUUGACUUCAUCAUGUCCAACAAGCCCAGGAUCUUCAAAGACGUAUCGGUUAUUCACAACUUAAAUUUUGAUUCGGACCACAAAAUGAUUCGCGCACGGCUAACAAGUACACCUAUAAAGAAUACAAGGAAAUUUCAUGAAAGAAAAACAGGUAUAGUAUGCACAGGCAACAGUGAUCAACUGAUAACUAACCUACAUGCUAUAAUAAGAAAUAAUGAUAAAGAAGCUACAGAACCAAUUCAAGCAAGGUAUGACAAAUUCAUAAACUUGUUAGCAACAGAAACUAAAAAAAUAAACAUAGAGAAGAAUAAGAUGAUUUCAGAGGAAACUUAUCAGUUGCUAGAACAAAGGAAAAAACUAAUAAAAAGAAAGGAAACUAAAGAUUACCGCUCUAAAAUAUCUGCAAUCAGCAAAAAGAUUAACGAAAAUAUAAGGAAAGAUAGAAAAAUAAGAAGGCAAGAAACGUUGAGAAAACACAUUGAAAGAACCGGUGGAAUAAAAAAGGCUUUAAAGGAAUUAAACAUAAAAAAAGACUGGAUGCUACAAGCUAAGAAUCAAGAUGGAAAGUAUACAAAUAAAAGACAAGAGAUAAUAAAGAUAGCUACAGACUACUACCAAAACCUGUACCAGAGCAACAAACCCAAGUUAAAGACCUGCCAAAGUAUUGUUAAGGGGAAUGAGCUACCAGAAGUACCAAGAAUAUUACUAAGUGAAACAGUACGAGCAAUCAAUAGCCAAAAAAGAGGUAAGACUCCAGGAACAGACCAGAUAACGAACGAAAUACUAAUGACAACCGUACCGGCGAUUGCUCCUACACUAACAAACCUAUUCAAUGACAUUAUAGAUACUGAAAGUAUACCGACUGACUGGACUACUUCCACAGUAAUACUGAUACAUAAAAAAGGAGAUAAAGGUGAAAUAGGUAAUUAUAGACCAAUCAGUCUGAUGUCAAACAUUUAUAAAGUUUUUUCAAAAAUAAUUCUGUCACGGAUCACACCAACACUAGACUUCAAUCAACCAAGAGAGCAAGCUGGCUUCCGAAGUCAAUAUUCAACUGUAGAUCAUAUACAUGUACUGAGGCAAGUUAUACAAAAGUAUAAAGAAUACAAUAAAAUAUAUUACCUAGGAUUCGUGGACUACAAUAAGGCGUUUGACUCAUUGGAACAUGAUUCUAUCUGGGAAGCAUUACAAAUACAGGGAAUACAAGGAAAGUAUAUACAAAUACUAAAAAAGAUAUAUUCGAACAGCAAAGCACGAGUAAGGUUGGAAACAACAGGAGAAGAGUUCCCAAUAGAGAGAGGUGUUCGGCAAGGAGACCCCGUCUCACCCAAACUCUUUUCGGCAACCCUAGAGAUGGUAUUUAGAAAUCUGGAGUGGGAUAAUUAUGGAAUUAAUAUAAACGGCGAAACUUUAAACCACCUCCGAUUUGCAGACGACCUGAUCCUAUUUUCUGAAUGUCCAAAAGACUUGAGCACAUGCUUCAAGAAUUAUCGGAGGAAAGCAAGAAGGUAGGACUUUCAAUGAACACAGAUAAAACUAAAGUUAUGACUAACGGCUCACAAGCUUACAAUAUAAGAGUAAAUAUGAAUCAAAUAGACUAUGUAGAAGAAUAUAUUUACCUUGGACAGUUAAUAGCACCAAAUGAUACUAUGCAAAAGGAAAUUGAUAGAAGGAUAACUAAUACUUGGAAAAGAUAUUGGUCUCUAAGUGAGAUCAUGAAGAAUCAAGACAUGCCACUAAAAGAGAAAAGGAAAGUAUAUGACACGUGCAUUUUACCCUGCUUAACAUAUGGAUGCCAAACGUGGGCAUUAACGGAAAAACAAACAAGAAAAAUUAAUGUAUGCCAAAACGGAAUAGAGAGAAGUGUAAUUGGAGUAAAAAGACGGGAUAGGGUAAGACUACAAAAUAUUAAACAACUAACUAAAUUUAAAGAUGCA